CAUGUAGGCGGAUUAAUAAGUUUGAAGUGAAAUCCUAUAGCUUAACUAUAGAACUGCUUUGAAAACUGUUAAUCUAGAAUGUGGGAGAGGUAGAUGGAAUUUCUGGUGUAGGGGUAAAGUCCGUAGAGAUCAGAAGGAAUACCGAUUGCGAAGGCGAUCUACUGGAACAUUAUUGACGCUGAGAUGCGAAAGCGUGGGGAGCAAACA
rnacentral:rRNA from 1 species